rnacentral:pre_miRNA from 1 species
GGGAGGGACUCCUGUCGCAGGAGAGAUGGCGCCUAGUCGCCUACUCCCAUCAUUUUACUUUCAAUUGAUUUGAUGACAAGUAAGCUUCAUCUCUCCUCGACUGAAGCCCCUUUCAAU